rnacentral:rRNA from 1 species
UACGGAGGGUGCGAGCGUUAUCCGGAAUUACUGGGUUUAAAGGGCUCGUAGGCGGCCAACUAAGUCAGACGUGAAAUCCCUCGGCUUAACCGGGGAACUGCGUCUGAUACUGGAUGGCUGGAGUUUGGGAGAGGGAUGCGGAAUUCCAGGUGUAGCGGUGAAAUGCGUAGAUAUCUGGAGGAACACCGGUGGCGAAGGCGGCAUCCUGGACCAAUACUGACGCUGAGGAGCGAAAGCCAGGGGAGCAAACGGG